CGGCUCUGGGUGGCCAGAGGCGCAGCCUGCCCAGCCCCCACCGGCCCUGGUGCUAGCUUGGUUUGAAAACGCUGACUGUUGGUCCCGCAAGCCGCCGUCUGGAGUCAGCCCAGCUCUCCAGCUGCGGCGGAGUCAAGGCUAUGUUUUCCCGGGUCAGAAAGACAGAAACCAGGCAUCGCCCCUCCGGGACCAUCCCUUCCGCGAAGUCCUCCGAGAGCCCAGGAGGGAUGGGCCUCGGGAGGGAGUGGUGCCUGGGAAACCAGCUGUGAGAAACAGUCAUCACCCAGCAUCCCAACUGAAAGCGUGGAGUCCAACCCCUUUGCUUCACAAGAAGGAGAAACUGAGGCAGAGUGACUGGGCCUCGGGUGGGGUGGAAAGAACCCUAGUUUCUCGUGCAGACCUCAAGCAGGGUUCCCUCCCGCGCACGGGUGCGAAGCUUACAGACAGGGAUACCUACUGUCUCCAGGAAGCAUUUGAGUUUCUACCCCACUGCUAUAGGGUCUCAUGUAGCCCAGGCUAACUUCAGACUCAUUGUCGCUGAGAAUUUCCUUAAACUCUGGAUCCUUCUGUUUUGUCUUCACAUCCCAACUGCUGGGAUUACAGGGUCUCACUAUGUACACCUGGCUGGCCUGGAAUUUGUGGGAUAGAACAAGAUGGCCUCCAAUUUGUGGUAAUCCUCCUGUCUCAACCUCCUGAAUCCUGGGAUACAGCAUGAGCUUCCCUGGAACUUGUGGAAGAAUCGUUUUCCUUGGUUUCAGUUAUGGAAUUAACAUCGGCUCUGGGAUAACUGCUUUAUCGACCAUCGUCCUAGCAACUAGCUACAUCGUUAAAGUCUUACUUAUUCAACUAUAGUUUAUGCAUAGUAAAUCUCCAUUUCCUAGUCUAAAAUCCUGUAUGUUUUGACAAACUUGUAUGAUUGAAUAACCACGAUCACACUCAAGAUCGUCCCCCGCCCCAACCUCCCUCCUGUUGAGUUGCACCAACCACUACCCUCACCCCCUAGCAUUUCCUUGUGGGUGUUGCCGUUCGGUGAGUGUCAUGUAAGUGGAGCCAUACCUUGUGUGAACAGCUGAGUCUGUCUCAUUUCACUUUGCAGAGUGCUGCAUUCAAGAUGCAUCCGUGACAUUGCCCAUACCAAUAGCUCCUUCCCCCCAACUGCUCACUGGUAUUUCAUUGAAUAGAUGUACCAGAGUUUGUCCAUGCACCAAUUGAAUGCCAUUUGGAUGUUUCCUGGUGUUGAUGAUUAGAAAUAAAGCCACUGUAAAUACUCAAGUGUUAAAAGAACACGUUUUUACU